rnacentral:rRNA from 1 species
GUAAAUAAUAAAAAGUCUAAUCUGCCCACUGAAUUUAUUUAAAGGGCUGCAGUAUAUUGACUGUACAAAGGUAGCAUAAUCAAUAGUCUUUUAAUUGAAGACUUGUAUGAAUGAUUUGAUGAAAUAUAAACUGUCUCUUUAUUAAAAAUAAAAUUUAAUUUUUUAGUUAAAAAGCUAAAAUAAUUAUAAAAGACGAGAAGACCCUAUAGAGUUUUAUAUUUAUUUUAUUUAGAAAUUAUUUAUAUAAUUUAAAUAUAUAAUAAUUUAAAUAUUUUAUUGGGGUGAUAGAAAAAUUAAAUAAACUUUUUUUAAAUUUUAACAUUAAUUUAUGAAAUUAUGAUCCAUAAUUUAUGAUUAAAAGAAAAAAUUACCUUAGGGAUAACAGCGUAAUUUUUUUUUUUAGUUCAAAUAAAAAAAAGAGUUUGCGACCUCGAUGUUGGAUUAAGAUAAAAUUUAAAUGCAAAAGUUAAAAU